UACGUAGGGUGCGAGCGUUAAUCGGAAUUACUGGGCGUAAAGCGUGCGCAGGCGGCUCGUUAAGUGUGAAGUGAAAUCUCUAGGGCUCAACCCAGAAACUGCUUUACAUACUGGCGAGCUGGAGUGAUGCAGAGGUUUGUGGAAUUCCUGGUGUAGCGGUGAAAUGCGUUGAUAUCAGGAGGAACACCCAUGGCGAAGGCAGCAAACUGGGCAUUAACUGACGCUGAGGCGCGAAAGCGUGGGUAGCAAACAGG
rnacentral:rRNA from 1 species